AGAGUAGGCGUAGACGGUUGCAGAGCAGUUGAUGAGACUGCUUUGAGGAAAGUCCGGGCUCCCGAAAGACCGAACUUGCUGGAUAACGUCCAGUGCGAGCGAUCGCGAGGAUAGUGCCACAGAAACAUACCGCCAAAACAAUCCAAAAUGUCAAAUUUUGAGUUGCAUGGUAAGGGUGCAAAGGUGCGGUAAGAGCGCACCAGCAACAUCGAGAGGUGUUGGCUCGGUAAACCCCGGUUGGGAGCAAGGCCAGAGGAACCACGGUUGGUCUUUUACCAGUUCCGUGAACAUAGAGCCGCUAGAGGCGUUUGGUAACAAGCGUCCCAGAUAGAUAACCGUCCUUGAAAGUAGUGCAUAACUCUUUUAAGAACAGAACCCGGCUUAUGUGCUGCUCUCUCC
rnacentral:RNase_P_RNA from 1 species